AAAAUGCCGGAAUGAGUAGCGCGAAUGCAGUGAGAAUCUGCAUGGCCGAAAGCCUCAGGUUUCUGGAGGAAGGUUCGUCCGCUCCAGGUUAGUCGGGAGCUAAGGUGAGGCCUAACGGCGUAGCCGAUGCACAGACGGUAGAGAUUCCGUCACCACCAAAAGAGUUAAACACAGGGACACAUUUGAAGUCUCGGAGCCGGGUGUUGGUUCCGGUAGUGAUCGAGGGAAAUUAGUACCGAAGUCCGGGAUGGAAGAUGGCGAGAAAAGCUGUGUGUAUUUCUGCGGUGCCCGUACCGCAAACCGACACAGGUAGGUAGGAAGAAGAUUCUAAGGCCAACGGGAGAAGGGUUGUUAAGGAACUCGGCAAAUUGACCCCGUAACUUCGGGAGAAGGGGUGCUCCAGAGAUGGAGCCGCAGAGAAUCGGCCCAAGCAACUGUUUACCAAAAACACAGGUUUGUGCUAAAUCGAAAGAUGACGUAUACGAGCUGACGCCUGCCCGGUGCUGGAAGGUUAAGAGGAGAUGUGCAAGCAUUGAAUCGAAGCCCCAGUGAACGGCGGCCGUAACAAUAACGGUCCUAAGGUAGCGAAAUUCCAUGUCAGGUAAGUUCUGACCCGCAUGAAAGGCGUAAUGAUUUGGGCACUGUCUCGACAGCCCGCCCGGCGAAAUUGUAGUACCGGUGAAGAUGCCGGUUACCCGCGACAAGACGGAAAGACCCCAUGGAGCUUUACUAUAGCCUAAUAUUGGGUUUCGAUGUUGCAUGCACAGGAUAGAUGGGACACUAGGAAGCAAGUGCUUUGGCAUUUGUGGAGUGGCCGUUGGGAUACCAUCCUUGCGAUAUUGGAAUUCUAACCUGCGCCUUUGAAUCAAGGCGGGGGACAUUGUUAGGUGGGCAGUUUGACUGGGGCGGUCGCCUCCUAAAGAGUAACGGAGGCGUUCAAAGGUUCGCUCAGCUUGAACGGAAAUCAAGCAAAAGAGUGCAAACGCAGAAGCGAGCCUAACUGCGAGACUGACGGGUCGAGCAGUAACGAAAGUUGGAGUUAGUGAUCCGGUGGUAUGUGAGUGGAAAUGCCAUCGCUCAACGGAUAAAAGUUACCCUGGGGAUAACAGGCUGAUCUCCCCCAAGAGUCCACAUCGACGGGGAGGUUUGGCACCUCGAUGUCGGCUCAUCGCAUCCUGGGGCUGUAUUCGGUCCCAAGGGUUUGGCUGUUCGCCAAUUAAAGCGGUACGCGAGCUGGGUUCAGAACGUCGUGAGACAGUUCGGUCCCUAUCUGUCGUGGGCGCAGGAUAUUUGAUGGGAGCUGUUCCUAGUACGAGAGGACCGGAGCGGACGUACCUCUGGCGCACCAGUUGUUCUGCCAAGGGCAUAGCUGGGCAACUAUGUACGGAUCGGAUAAACGCUGAAAGCAUCUAGGCGUGAAGCCGACCCAAAGAUAAGAUAUCCCAUUGUUUCAAACAAGUAAGACCCCUUGAAGACUACAAGGUUGAUAGGCAUGAUGUGUAAGUGGAGUGAUCCAUUCAGCAAGCAUGUACUAAUAGGUCGAGGGCUUGACC
rnacentral:rRNA from 1 species